AACGAGCUGGCUGCGAGUACGAGCCAUUUAAACUGGCCUGCAGGGCUCUCCGGAGAACUGCUUUUCUGUUAACAGCCGGUAUUGCUUGCAGUAGCCUCUACAUUGCCUUGGUCUCCUUCCCAAAGAAAUUGCCUCAGGCCGUGCUUUGCAGUAAGAAAGAAUCUGGCGGCGGGGAGCUGACCAGGAGGUUCUGCUUAGAAACCUUGGGCUAAACCAGCCCGUUCGCCUGAGGCGAGUGCAGAACGUGAUGGGUACCCAUACAAAACAGGAGAGAGUGGUGUUACCCAGUGCCUCCGUGCAACGUGGGGCUUCUGUGCUUAAAAGCUUACCAGUACAACAUGGAUCACUUGCAGCGUAGCCACAUUGAACAAAACUCUGGUGUUUAUUACCUGUAUUAUCUUAGUGCACAGGAGCCCCAGCCACAGGCCAGGAUGCCAUUUUGCAAGAUGCUGUCCAAACAGAACAAAGAGCACAUGUCCGAAGUGCACAACAAAGGGCGGCAAUAGGCACAGGUAGAUGGCAGAAUGCAAGCAGACAAUGGGAUGAUACUGGUCAGCAUCGGAGGGGUCAAAGCUAUUUUUGCUGUAUUGUCUUUGUCAAGGAACGGUGGGGUCUUGAGAGCAAAAUGCGCCUGAGGAGAGCUUUACCCAAGUGUCUGAAAAAGCCUAUAUGAAGAUGUAGGCGCCCUUGAAAUUAAGCAAGUGGACAAUGGAGAAACUUUCUGAUUCUGAAAGCAAAGUUCUCAAACAUUGUUUCAGCUAUAAAUAAAGGGCUAUGAUGAAGGAAAAGAAAACUUAAGUAAAGAGCUUGAAGUCUUCUUAGGGAAGCAAUAUAUAAAUACCCAUUAGUUGGAACAUUACAUUUAUGUAAAAGUACUGAUACUUUUACAAGUUUCUCAGGCUGUGUUUCUCUAUCCAUCCUGCACACCAGCAAUUGGAUGCCAGUGUAGUAUGUCCUACUUAUGCUUGGCCAUUUACCCUAAUUUCCUACGGUGUUCACAUCCUGCUUCCAGUAUUGUCAUUUUCAUCACCUACUUUUUUCCAUUUUGCCUUGCCUUUUCUGUUCUUCCUCUAUUGCAGUUUCUUCUAUUAUGCUUCUCAUAGAGCCUUCCAUAAAUAAUGAAUGGGAUGGAUGGAUUGCACAUCCAAGGAUGGGCUACGCCAUGCACAGACAGCUGGCCUGGGUUAGUUGGUAUGUAGUUAGACAUCUCUAUGAAGGAAGUGCCGAGGCCCAGCCCCCAGCAGGGAGGAACAGGCUUCUGCCAAAGGAGAGGUGUGCUAAAAGAGGUGCCUGUGCCAAAGAGAAGUGCUUGUGAAUGCUGAAUUGAAGCUAUGCUAGGAGAUAGCUUCAGGCACAGGAAAGCUGUUCACACACCCUGUGUCUGGACUUGAGCCGGUGGAAGUUUCUGUCCUAACAAAUGGUGGCAGGCUUCCAGUGGAAAGAGUGCCAAAGGAAGAACAGCAGCCCAGAGGAGACUUCACACUUUACAGCAACAUUUAAAGCAUUCUGAAUCUGAUUAGGGGAUGUGGCUGAAAGUCACAUCGCUGCCUGGUCCUACAUGGCAUUUUUAAAAAGCUGUCAGAGCAAAAAAUGAAAUACUGGAACUAAAGCCCCUAAGCAAUUCCAGCUUCAGUGCAGUACUGCGACGUCGUGUCAGUCAGCACGCAAACACCGACUGCAACGGCUGGAUUCACAAGUGCCAUAAGCCACCUUUGGAUCAAAAGUGCCGUUCAAUUUUUCUCACUUUAAAUCUCUUUCAUACAUUCCUCUAGAUUUACUUUGAGAUCAGAAUUUGACUUACAGGCAUUAUCUCUGACAAACAAAGGGGAAAGCGUGAAUGUGCAGCACUGUGGCAUCAGGAGGGAAAAAAAAAAGGAGAUUGCAGAUGUCCUGCUUUUUUCAGAUGUAAUAGAAGUAGUGAAUGAAUAAACCAACCUUCUGUCAGAAAAAAGCAUACAAAGGUAACGAGUCCUUAAGCAGAAUGCCUUCUCUGUGUGUAAUAAAAAGCAUAUUUCACUGCUCACAGCUAUAUAUGCACACAUACCCACACAGAGACAUGGGUACAUAAAUAUUCAAAACAGCUGCAAAUUUGACUUAAAAGGUUUUCCAUAUCAGCUCACUACGUUUUCAGUAUGAAAUACUCUGAUGUAAGAGAUCUUCGUGGAAAACCUUUCAAGUCCCCUUUUCUAGUUUCCAUGUUACUAUAGGUAAGGAAGAGAAUGAUGGAUUUAGUAAAGGUGCAGCACUCAGGAGUGCUGGUAAGAGAUCUCACUUUUCUUUUUUGGCUUGGAAUCCCUAGCUUUGUCUCAGUUUGGCAAAAGAUUAUAUCCUUCAUGACAUAAUGCAUGUCGGUAUCCUCUGUUUCCAGCCCUAGUGUUACACUUCCAUUUUUCCUUUCUUUUUCUCCUUUUAAUUAAAUGAAUAUAAAAUAUAGCAUCUACCAAUAAGAGGGAUAAAAAAAAAAGCACAGGGAUCAGAUCCAGUUAACAGAACACAGCACUCUGUGGGUUCAGAAUCAAGGCUGGGCAAGGAAGCCUGUCCCAUGAGGAGAAGAUAAUUUCCCUGCCAUCGCGUUAAGGUUAUUGCAAUGCCAGCAUCCCUAAAU